rnacentral:snoRNA from 1 species
GCUCUCCUGAUCCCUUACUCAUGAGAUCUACACACUGGUCUCAGUGACGAUCAAAUGAGGGGAAAAUUGAAGCUGACUUGGAUUCUCUUGUGACAUACAUGUUGGUUUCAAAUAUGC